AGCUGACAGAAGAGAGGGAGCCCAUUGAGUUCUCUCUUUCACAUGAAAGCCAUUCUGCAAAAUUACCUCAUCUGUCUAGACCUCU
rnacentral:miRNA from 1 species